UACAGCAUCUGCACCUGAUUCUAUCGCUGCCUCAGCUGCUGACUGCACCUCUGCAGCCACCAAUGUCUCACUGCCAAGGCUGCAGCCUGGGGGAGCCUUCACAUCUAGCUGCCACCACCUCAGCCACCUCCACACCUCCAGCAUUAGGUGAUGGAGCCCUUCUCCACCUGAAAAGGCAGAGGACAUGUCAGAGGAAAUAUCAUGGAGGGAUCUCAGUGAUGCCAAUGUACAAUCAGCAUCUACGUCACUAGGUUCAAUGUGGGUUAUCUCAAGUGUGGUUAAAAAAAAAAAAAAUGUGUUCCCUGAGCCACUUGGAGGAGAACAACUUUGAAACACCUGGAACAAAGAGAUUUUAUGAGGGCCUUGCCCAAAAAGACAUGCUUUAUAAAAGAAAAAGUAAGUAUAUUAUUGGCCAAAUAGAAAACCAUAGAAAGAGCCGUUCCACAAAGAGGCCUGCACAUCAUAUAACACUCCCUCGAUUUCCAUUGAAGAGGAGAUGGAGUCAGCUGGCUCUGCCCACUUUUUUCACAACACCACAACAAAGGCCAGGCAAUAAAGGCCAGAAGAGUGAUUAUUUGAACACAUUUAGAAUGUCUGAGGAGACAGAAAAUGCUGCCUCAUUUAGGAAAACACAUGAGGCUGAGAUAGAGACCAUCACUUGUAGUUCUACAACACUGGAUGUAUUCUGCGUGCUAGAAGACAGCAAGUGUAAAAUGAGCCCUGAACCUCAUGAUGAUGCCAGCAGUAUAGAGAACAAAGCAAGUGAAUAUUUGAGUGACCUUAUUAUUCAGAUGACAGGGGAUCUUAGGUAUUUUGUGUCCCACCCUCAGCAUGGGAACAACCAAUUCGAAAAUGUUAGUGGCAUGAUGACCAUCGACUUCCCAUCUCCAUAUACAAAGGAAGAGCUUCAGGAGGUACACAUAGCCACCAGCAACCACAGCAGAAGGAGCUGA
rnacentral:lncRNA from 1 species